UGGCAGGUACAGAGGGAUGCUACCGGGCGACCGGAUGCGGAUCUCGAAAGCCUGUCCCACGUUCGGACUGGAGUCUGCAACCCGACUCCACGAAGUUGGAUUCGCUAGUAAUCGCGCAUCAGCCAUGGCGCGGUGAAUACGUUCCCGGGCCUUGUACACACCGCCCGUCAAGCCAUGGGAGCCGGGGGCGCCUGAAGUCCGGGACCGCGAGGACCGGCCUAGGGCGAAACUGGUAACUGGGGCUAAGUCGUAACAAGGUAUC
rnacentral:rRNA from 1 species